rnacentral:ncRNA from 1 species
UGUCUUCGGGGCGGGGUGAAAUUCCCCACCGGCGGUGAUCCGGCCAGGCGGCCGGGAAGCCCGCGAGCGCAAGCUGAUCCGGUGUGAUUCCGGAGCCGACGGUACAGUCCGGAUGGAAGAAG